GGGGCCGACCUGGUUUCGACGUGGGUGGCAAAACCUGAGGCGCAUGCCGAGGACGUCGCUAGGCCUCGUAAAAAAAGCGACAACUCAUAGUUGCCAACGACGACAACUACGCUCUGGCCGCCUAACCCGGCCAGCCUCUGACCGGAACUUGCUCGUGAAGUCCGGGUGCCCGCAAGGGCACAUCAGGGGUCGACCAGCACGAGAUCGCGCGCAAGCCCGCCCGGGGCCCAGGCGCUAAAACCAAGCGGGACCGCCGUUCGAGACCCUGCCCGUCGGGACGAGAACGGUCAGAUCAAUGACUGGGCUAAGCAUGUAGUGCCAAGGGCGGAGCGCUUGCGGACGCGGGUUCGAUUCCCGCCGGCUCCACCA
rnacentral:tmRNA from 1 species